rnacentral:rRNA from 1 species
CCUACGGGGGGCAGCAGUGGGGAAUAUUGGACAAUGGGGGCAACCCUGAUCCAGCCAUGCCGCGUGUGUGAAGAAGGCCCUCGGGUUGUAAAGCACUUUCAGUGAGGAAGAACGCCUGGUGGUGAAUACCCAUCAGGAAAGACAUCACUCACAGAAGAAGCACCGGCUAACUCCGUGCCAGCAGCCGCGGUAAUACGGAGGGUGCGAGCGUUAAUCGGAAUUACUGGGCGUAAAGCGCGCGUAGGUGGCUUGAUAAGCCGGUUGUGAAAGCCCCGGGCUCAACCUGGGAACGGCAUCCGGAACUGUCAAGCUAGAGUGCAGGCGAGGAAGGUAGAAUUCCCGGUGUAGCGGUGAAAUGCGUAGAGAUCGGGAGGAAUACCAGUGGCGAAGGCGGCCUUCUGGACUGACACUGACACUGAGGUGCGAAAGCGUGGGUAGCAAACAGGAUUAGAUACCCCAGUAGUC